GACGGAGGAUGCAAGUGUUAUCCGGAAUCACUGGGCGUAAAGCGUCUGUAGGUGGUUUAAUAAGUCCACUGUUAAAAAUUGAAGCUUAACUUCAAAGAUGCCGUGGAAACUUUUAAACUUGAGUAUGGUAGGGGUAGAGGGAAUUUCCAGUGGAGCGGUGAAAUGCGUAGAUAUUGGAAAGACCACCAAUGGCGAAGGCACUCUACUGGGCCAUUACUGACACUGAGAGACGAAAGCUAGGGGAGCAAAUGGG
rnacentral:rRNA from 1 species